GAUGAACGCUAGCGGCAGGCUUAACACAUGCAAGUCGAGGGGUAGAGUAGCAAUACUUGAGACCGGCGCACGGGUGCGUAACGCGUAUGCAAUCUACCUUUUACAGAGGGAUAGCCCAGAGAAAUUUGGAUUAAUACCUCAUAGUAUUACGACCUGGCAUCAGGAUGUAAUUAAAGUCACAACGGUAAAAGAUGAGCAUGCGUCCCAUUAGCUAGUUGGUAAGGUAACGGCUUACCAAGGCUACGAUGGGUAGGGGUCCUGAGAGGGAGAUCCCCCACACUGGUACUGAGACACGGACCAGACUCCUACGGGAGGCAGCAGUGAGGAAUAUUGGACAAUGGGCGCAAGCCUGAUCCAGCCAUGCCGCGUGCAGGAUGACGGUCCUAUGGAUUGUAAACUGCUUUUGCACAGGAAGAAACACCCCCUCGUGAGGGGGCUUGACGGUACUGUGAGAAUAAGGAUCGGCUAACUCCGUGCCAGCAGCCGCGGUAAUACGGAGGAUCCAAGCGUUAUCCGGAAUCAUUGGGUUUAAAGGGUCCGUAGGCGGUUCGGUAAGUCAGUGGUGAAAGCCCAUCGCUCAACGGUGGAACGGCCAUUGAUACUGCCAGACUUGAAUUAUUAGGAAGUAACUAGAAUAUGUAGUGUAGCGGUGAAAUGCUUAGAGAUUACAUGGAAUACCAAUUGCGAAGGCAGGUUACUACUAAUAUAUUGACGCUGAUGGACGAAAGCGUGGGUAGCGAACAGGAUUAGAUACCCUGGUAGUCCACGCCGUAAACGAUGGAUACUAGCUGUUGGGAGCAAUCUCAGUGGCUAAGCGAAAGUGAUAAGUAUCCCACCUGGGGAGUACGUUCGCAAGAAUGAAACUCAAAGGAAUUGACGGGGGCCCGCACAAGCGGUGGAGCAUGUGGUUUAAUUCGAUGAUACGCGAGGAACCUUACCAAGGCUUAAAUGUAGAUUGACCGGACUGGAAACAGUUUUUUCGCAAGACAAUUUACAAGGUGCUGCAUGGUUGUCGUCAGCUCGUGCCGUGAGGUGUCAGGUUAAGUCCUAUAACGAGCGCAACCCCUGUUGUUAGUUGCCAGCGAGUCAUGUCGGGAACUCUAACAAGACUGCCAGUGUAAACUGUGAGGAAGGUGGGGAUGACGUCAAAUCAUCACGGCCCUUACGCCUUGGGCUACACACGUGCUACAAUGGCCGGUACAGAGAGCAGCCACUGGGUGACCAGGAGCGAAUCUACAAAACCGGUCACAGUUCGGAUCGGAGUCUGCAACUCGACUCCGUGAAGCUGGAAUCGCUAGUAAUCGGAUAUCAGCCAUGAUCCGGUGAAUACGUUCCCGGGCCU
rnacentral:rRNA from 1 species